UACAGAGACUGCGAGCGUUAUUCGGAUUCACUGGGCGUAAAGGGUGCGCAGGCGGCCAAGUGUGUGAGGCGUGAAAGCCCGGGGCUUAACCCCGGAAUUGCACCUCAAACUACAUGGCUAGAGCAUUGGAGAGGGUAGCGGAAUUCACGGUGUAGCAGUGAAAUGCGUAGAUAUCGUGAGGAAAACCAGAGGCGAAGGCGGCUUCCUGGACAAUUGCUGGCGCUCAGGCACGGAAGCGUGGGGAGCAAAAGGG
rnacentral:rRNA from 1 species